rnacentral:rRNA from 1 species
GACGAACGCUGGCGGCGUGCUUAACACAUGCAAGUCGAACGGAAAGGCCCUGCUUUUGUGGGGUGCUCGAGUGGCGAACGGGUGAGUAACACGUGAGUAACCUGCCCUUGACUUUGGGAUAACUUCAGGAAACUGGGGCUAAUACCGGAUAGGAGCUCCUGCUGCAUGGUGGGGGUUGGAAAGUUUCGGCGGUGGGGGAUGGACUCGCGGCUUACCAGCUUGUUGGUGGGGUAGUGGCUUACCAAGGCUUUGACGGGUAGCCGGCCUGAGAGGGUGGCCGGCCACAUUGGGACUGCGAGACGGCCCAGACUCCUACGGGAGGCAGCAGUGGAGAAUAUUGCACAGUGGGCGGAAGCCUGAUGCAGCGACGCCGCGUGCGGGAUGACGGCCUUCGGGUUGUAAACCGCUUUCGCCUGUGACGAAGCGUGAGUGACGGUAAUGGGUAAAGAAGCACCGGCUAACUACGUG